UAAUCUUAUCUGGUGAGGUCUGACCUGGU
rnacentral:piRNA from 2 species